UACGAAGGGGGCUAGCGUUGUUCGGAAUCACUGGGCGUAAAGCGCACGUAGGCGGAUUGUUAAGUGAGGGGUGAAAUCCCGGGGCUCAACCCCGGAACUGCCCUUCAUACUGGCAGUCUUGAGUUCGAGAGAGGUAAGUGGAAUUCCGAGUGUAGAGGUGAAAUUCGUAGAUAUUCGGAGGAACACCAGUGGCGAAGGCGGCUCACUGGCUCGAUACUGACGCUGAGGUGCGAAAGCGUGGGGAGCAAACAGG
rnacentral:rRNA from 1 species